UACGGAAGGCAGCAGUGGGGAAUAUUGCACAAUGGGCGAAAGCCUGAUGCAGCUAUGCCGCGUGUAUGAAGAAGGCCUUAGGGUUGUAAAGUACUUUCAUCGGGGAGGAAAAAACAAAACUAAUAAUUUUAUUUCUUGACGUUACCCGAAAAAGAAGCACCGGCUAACUCCGUGCCAGCAGCCGCGGUAAUACGGAGGGUGCUAGCGUUAAUCAGAAUUACUGGGCGUAAAGAGCACGUAGGUGGCUUUUUUAAGUCAGAUGUGAAAUCCCUGGGCUUAACCUGGAACUGCAUUUUGAAACUGAAAUACUAGAGUAUCGUAGAGGGAGGUAGAAUUCUAGGUGUAGCGGUGAAAUGCGUAGAUAUCUGGAGGAAUACCUGUGGCGAAAGCGGGCCUCCUAAACGAAUACUGACACUGAGGUGCGAAAGCGUGGGGAGCAAACAGGGAUUAGAUACC
rnacentral:rRNA from 1 species